rnacentral:rRNA from 1 species
AUUGAACGCUGGCGGCAUGCCUUACACAUGCAAGUCGAACGGUAACAGGUCUUCGGAUGCUGACGAGUGGCGAACGGGUGAGUAAUACAUCGGUACGUGCCCGACCGUGGGGGAUAACGAGGCGAAAGCUUUUCUAAUACCGCAUACUAUCUACGGACGACAUCGGGGGAUCUUCGGAGCUCGCGCGGACGGGGCGGCCGUUGCGGGAUUAGGUAGUUGGUGGGAUAAAAGCUUACCAAGCCGACGAUCUGUAGCUGGUCUGAGAGGAGGAUCAGCCACAGUGGGAGUGAGACGCGGCACUGAGUCCGACGGACGGCAGAAGUGGGGAAUGGUGGAAAAAGGGGGAAAGACUGAUCCAGGGACGCCGCGUGGAGGAUGAAGGGCCUCGGGUGGGAAGAUGGCUUUGUAGUGAACGAAAGGCCUCAGCCUAAUAGAGAGGGGUCAUGACGGUACCGUAAGAAGAAGCACCGGCUAACUACGUG